UGAAAUCCUGUACUGGGUGGCUGAAAAGUUGAAAGGGAAAAAUAAAAUAAAAACCGUUUUGCCAGGUGCAUGACAAUUUAGCUGCCAAAUUUGCAGAACAUCUGUAAUAUUUUUUAAAAGAAGGUAACCAAAGGUAGGUGAUCAAGGGCACAUGUUAUUGGAAUUGCUUUGGACAAAUUUGUUGCAUCUGUUUCGGAGUAAGCCUUUUUUUGUUUAGAGUCUAGGAUGGCUGACUUAAACAGGGAGUUUAGCUGUGGAGAGGUGUGGUCUGGAAGAGUCUUAAGGAGAUGAAGAUCUGUCACAGUGAGCUACACCAUCAUCAGGAUCUUGACCAGAAGCCUUCAGAGUGAAUCAGCUGGGUUCUGAAUAAGAGCCUUAGAACUUUGUGUAGGGAACAGUCUGCUUGCAUGGCUGGACUUGUAGGGAUACAGGAUUGUGUAAGUAAUGUUGCCUCAGAAAGGGAUCAGAGAAGCACCUGUUUCUUCUUUUAAUGGAUACAACCUGCUGGCUGAUUCAGUGCAAGAGACAACAGCAUUAUUUAAAGGCAACAUUUAUUUGGCAAAGGAAGAAAAAUAAUCCAGAGCACACAUGUACACUAAAGAUGGAUUUGAAUUGGACCCUGUGACAGGUUGUGUGUGUGUGGUGCUGAGCAUCAUUCAUUCAUACUAUUUACAUUUGCAGAUUCUGAGCAGGUACAAGGACAUCUCAAGUGGUAAGUAUAGGCCUGGAAGUAAGAAUUCAGAGAAUCAAAAAGAAAUAACCAUCAGUUCUGACGGUACCUUAAAUCACUGAAAUAGAAGCUGAAAUCCACAUGCAUUUUACAAGCAAGAGUCUGCCACUUUGGAAGGAUUUCCUCAUCCAGAUGUUAGCAGGAGAGUGCCAAGCUCCUCUCAGCAAGACUCUGGACAAGACCCUUCACUCCAGUUCUGCCACCACUGCCAUGGUGAUUUCCUUUGCACUGUGGGAGAGAACAUCUCCUGCAGUUCUGGACAAGCUCCACAUCUGCACCCAGCUUUGGGCCCUAGUUCUGUGCAGGUCUUCAUUGCACUGGAAGAGUAGGCUGUAGUGUGAGAUGAAAACCCGGAGGCGCUGCACGCACACCAGCAGCAGGGCUUGCUUUCUGUGUAUUUGCCUUGUCUGAAAUGUUUCAGUACAAUUCAGGUGCCAGUCAGCCACAGCAACCUCCAGGAAACAGAAAAGUGGAUUGGCAGGAGAGUCCUAUCAUGGGCAGGCAUAACAGGAAGAGAUCUUUGCAUGUUGCCAUUAUGUGCUGGGAAGCAGGCAGGAAGUUUACCUCCUUCAGGAUCACCACGUGGAUCAGAGAGAUGCAUUCUGGCAGGUCCCUCAGCUUCAGGAAGAUGUCUCCUAGGAUGCCUUGUCGUGGCCAGCUCAGGACUCUCUCCUGGAGAGCGUGCAGUAAAUCCACAUGCUGCUGCACCAGGAACCGCAAAGAGUUGGGGAAAAAGCUGAUGGGAGACCAAAUCAGACUGGUUACACAGAGCAAAACCUCAUCCCUAGGCAUACUCUCCAUGCUGGAUGCGUGACAGCUCCUGCAUUGCUUCUGUGAAACCCGCCUUCAGCUCAGAGGCUAAUGCCUGCAACUACAGCAACACAAACAGAUUUUCUCUGCAACCACAUGAAUAAGGAACUGACCUUUGGCUGGAAGUUUCUCAUGAUGCCUGGGGCUGUGUGUACAGUGACUCUCCUGAAUCAUGGAAACUGAGGCCCAUGCCAGUUCUGUUGGGCUCUUGCUGUGGGAUAGUAAGGACUGACUCAAAGAGAGCAAGAGGACAUGUUUCUGAAUUAACAGUACAACACAAACCAGGUGCUGGGAGGACAAGGAGAUGCUUUUUUUACAACAUGGGUGGGCAAACUGAGUGCAGAGCUUUGUGAAGGACUGGAGGUGUCAGGUAGAAGCAUAGCACAGCAAAGGAGAGCCUGCUCAAAUUUUCUUUGGGUGUCUUUCAAUCUGAUACAAAACACAGAGGGCCUGAGCCAUGUCCUGCAGAGAUCUGUAGGGAUCU